CCCGCGACCGCGGCACGUCAUCCCUCCUUCGGCCACGGGUGAGGCCGGGGAGCCCGCCGUGAGAGGCUCGUACACACUCCCACCCCCGGUGCCUGCCAGGAGUUCCUGACAGAGGGGCUGAUGCAAACUGCAAUUCGGGCAUCACGGUUGUUAGCCAGAAACUGUAUUCAUUAGCAAAAAACUGACAUGUUCCCCGCUGACCCUGGCAUUCAAUGAAUGGUGCUGAUCUGAAGUCUUCUAGGCAACUUCCAGGUGACAUAAGGGAUUGUCCGCCACCCUGAUCACCAGAUCCAGUGUGCUGGAAAGAACAAUGAAAGAACUUGAUAACUGUGCAUGAAAAAUAGAGAGUGGCGUCAUUGGCAAAGGAGCAGCACUUGACAACCAGUAAGACUUAUCAUUUCGACUGGCAUAGUAACAAACUUGGUUGAUGUUACAGUAAGCAAAGGGCAUGGUAUUAAAUACAGGAAGACAAGAUCCUGCCAGACCUGAAAAUAAUAACAAAUGCUGAAAGUUAUUCUGCUUCUUUCUAGGUACAGCAGACUAUAGCCAGUCCAUAAUUUUGGCAUCCCCUGUGGACAGGGUGGUUCUCUGUCUGACUGGCUGUGAAGGACAAGCAAGAAUCCACUUGCAGAUCUAACACGGGGGCCUGGUGGUCCUGGGAUACCAGUCUGGCCAGGUGGACCUUAGACACAGGAGAAAGGUGUUAAUUGAUGGCUUCUCAGGCUGUGGCCUAAUCAAUGGAGAUUGAAGACUGUUCUGUCUAUACAAUGUCUUGUCUCAAGUUUGUUAAUGAUGCCCCCAACAGAAACAAUACACACAUCGGGCCCCAGUCUGUUACAUUGUCAACAGCCCAACUGGAAACAACACUGACCUUUUGCUACUAGGCAACAUUCAAUAGCUGAGCUCCAGGAGGUCCAACUAACAGUGGUGACCCAGGUGGCCCAGGAAGUCCAACAUCGCCCUGUGGAAGCCAAAGCAAC